rnacentral:rRNA from 1 species
GACGAACGCUGGCGGCGUGCCUAACACAUGCAAGUCGAACGAGAUCCAUGGGAGCUUGCUCCCGGAAGAUCUAGUGGCGAACGGGUGAGUAACACGUGAGAAACCUGCCCUGGAGUGGGGAAUAACACGGGGAAACUCGAGCUAAUACCGCAUACCCUCGGAUGGUCGCAUGGCCGACCGAGGAAAGAUUUUAUCGCUCUAGGAGGGUCUCGCGGCCUAUCAGCUAGUUGGUGGGGUAACGGCCUACCAAGGCAACGACGGGUAGCUGGUUUGAGAGAACGAUCAGCCACACUGGGACUGAGACACGGCCCAGACUCCUACGGGAGGCAGCAGUGGGGAAUCUUGCGCAAUGGGCGAAAGCCCGACGCAGCAACGCCGCGUGCGGGAUGACGGCCUUCGUGGUUGUAACCGCGUUUCAGCAGGGACGAAACGACGGUACCUGCAGAAGAAGACCCCGGCUAACUACGUAGCCAGCAGCCGCGGUAAGU